GAUGAAGAACGCAGCGAAAUGCGAUACGUAAUGUGAAUUGCAGAAUUCAGUGAAUCAUCGAAUCUUUGAACGCAUAUUGCGCUCUCUGGUAUUCCGGAGAGCAUGCUUGUUUGAGUAUCAGUAAACACCUCAACUUCCAUAUCUUUUUUGAAAUGGGAGUUGGACUUGAGUGAUCCCAACGCUUUUCCUCACCGAAAAGUGGCGGGUUACUUGAAAUGCAGGUGCAGCUGGACUUUUCUCUGAGCUAUAAGCAUAUCUAUUUAGUCUGCCUAAAAAACAGAUUAUUACCUUUGCUGCAGCUAACAUAAAGGAGAUUAGUUCUUGUGCUGACUGAUUCAGGAUUCACAAAGACAGGCUUCGGCCGACUUUGUAAACUCGAUCUCAAAUCAAGUAAGACUACCCGCUGAACUUAAGCAUAUCAAUAAGCGGAGGA
rnacentral:misc_RNA from 1 species